ACUCUAAGGAGACUGCCGGUGACGAAACCGGAGGAAGGUGGGGAUGACGUCAAGUCAUCAUGGCCCUUACGGCCUGGGCUACACACGUGCUACAAUGGUCGGUACAAAGGGUUGCCAAGCCGCGAGGUGGAGCUAAUCCCAUAAAACCGAUCGUAGUCCGGAUCGCAGUCUGCAACUCGACUGCGUGAAGUCGGAAUCGCUAGUAAUCGUGAAUCAGAAUGUCACGGUGAAUACGUUCCCGGGCCGUU
rnacentral:rRNA from 1 species